rnacentral:rRNA from 1 species
UACGAAGGGGGCGAGCGUUGUUCGGAAUUACUGGGCGUAAAGGGCGCGUAGGCGGCCGAUCAAGUCAGAUGUGAAAGUCCUGGGCUUAACCUGGGGACUGCAUUUGAUACUGAUUGGCUUGAAUGCAGGAGAGGAUAGCGGAAUUCCCAGUGUAGAGGUGAAAUUCGUAGAUAUUGGGAAGAACACCGGUGGCGAAGGCGGCUAUCUGGACUGUGAUUGACGCUGAGACGCGAAAGCGUGGGGAGCAAACAGG